GCACAAGCGGUGGAUGAUGUGGAUUAAUUCGAUGCAACGCGAAAACCUUACCUACCCUUGACAUGUCUGGAACCUUGCUGAGAGGCGAGGGUGCCUUCGGGAGCCAGAACACAGGUGCUGCAUGGCUGUCGUCAGCUCGUGUCGUGAGAUGUUGGGUUAAGUCCCGCAACGAGCGCAACCCUUGUCAUUAGUUGCUACAUUCAGUUGGGCACUCUAAUGAGACUGCCGGUGACAAACCGGAGGAAGGUGGGGAUGACGUCAAGUCCUCAUGGCCCUUAUAGGUGGGGCUACACACGUCAUACAAUGGAUGGUACAAAGGGUCGCCAACCCGCGAGGGGGAGCCAAUCCCAUAAAGCCAUUCGUAGUCCGGAUCGCAGUCUGCAACUCGACUGCGUGAAGUCGGAAUCGCUAGUAAUCGUGGAUCAGAAUGUCACGGUGAAUACGCUCCCGGGUCUU
rnacentral:rRNA from 1 species